UACGGAGGGGGGCUAGCGUUGUUCGGAAUUACUGGGCGUAAAGCGCACGUAGGCGGCUUUGUAAGUUAGAGGUGAAAGCCCGGGGCUCAACUCCGGAAUUGCCUUUAAGACUGCAUCGCUAGAAUUGUGGAGAGGUAAGUGGAAUUCCGAGUGUAGAGGUGAAAUUCGUAGAUAUUCGCAAGAACACCGGUGGCGAAGGCGGCUCACUGGUCCGGAACUGACGCUGAGGCACGACAGCGUGGGGAGCAAACAGG
rnacentral:rRNA from 1 species